UGGGACAUUAUGAAAAACACCAAAUAUAGUGAGAUAUUUUGGAAGCUCUUAACGAGCCAUUUACAAGACACACUGAAAUAACUACUUAGAAUCGUAGGGUCAGAUUAUUCCAUCUGCUGCAUGACUUGGAGGAAUUAAAAGUAACAGCAAUUCUGCUCCAAUUUUCUCAACUCUUCUGGAGCGG